AGAGCCAGGGCCAUGGAGCAGCCUGUGUAGACGGGGACCUGCCCUGCAUGGGCACCCCCUCACUGGCUGCUUCCCUUGGUCUCCAG
ensembl:miRNA